AUGCUUCCGGGUCCUAGGAGGCGUGAGUGCGAGCACGAGCAGUUUGAGGUCCUAGAAGCCAGUAGGUUGUAGCUUUCUGUCAGACACAAUUGUACCACCACCUGAGGUAGGGAGACUCAGUGUGGAAUUUUCGAAAGCAGCCAAUAGCCCGAUGAUUCCCGCGCUCUCCAGGGAUAUAUGUGAAGCCUGUUGGUUGUCCCGGGUUUGGAGGAGUCCUAGGCCGGAGGGCGAGCCUUCUCCGAGGGGGACGGGUUCCUAAGUGGACAGGCGCCCCGCGGCCCUUCCGAUGAAGACGCAGUUCUCCCACGUAGCCAGCCUCUUGUGCUUCUUGCUCCUUUCUCCCAGGAAACCUGCCUUGUGGCAGCGCACCAGGGCGCUAAAAGUUGAGUCCGUAAGGGGAGUGAUUAAGUCGGGUUUCUGGCCCACCGCGAACAUGCAACAAUGGGGUUUAUAACACAGUCAUUCGUAGAAUCAGUUUGGGGAGGGGAAUUUCCACUGAACUUUCGUGGAGACACUGCCUGUUUUAGAUGGCUGAGAAACUAAUGCACAAUCAAAUUGGAUUGAGUUUACACAAAAGUUAGAGUUAGCUAAACUCAAGAGAGAAGUGAUUUUUCUCAGAAAGUUCCACAAUUAAGGAAAACAAUAACCAAAAACAACCAACUUUAAAACUGUGAAGCUGAGGGACGGGUGAGAUGGCUCAGCAGGUAAAAGCACUUGCAUUCAAACCUGAGGACCUCCCCGGGAACAAAUGGUGAAAGGAUUGAACUGACUCCCCAAAACUGACCACACACACACACUAAUAAAAAAAUGU
rnacentral:lncRNA from 1 species